GGGUAUACAGCUCAGUGGUAGAGCGCGUGCCUAGCGUGCCCGAGGUCCUGGGUUCAACCCCCAGUACCUCCA
rnacentral:tRNA from 1 species